rnacentral:rRNA from 1 species
GAUUAACGCUAGCGGCAGGCCUAAUACAUGCAAGUCGAACGGGAUUAGUUGUAGCAAUACGACUAUGAGAGUGGCGCACGGGUGCGUAACACGUAUGCAACCUACCUAUAACUGGGGGAUAGCCUCCCGAAAGGGAGAUUAACACCGCAUAACAUUAUGAAGUGGCAUCACUUUAUAAUUAAAUCUACGGAGGUUAUAGAUGGGCAUGCGUCCGAUUAGCUAGUUGGUGAGGUAACGGCUCACCAAGGCUCCGAUCGGUAGGAGGUCUGAGAGGAUGAUCCCCCACACUGGUACUGAGACACGGACCAGACUCCUACGGGAGGCAGCAGUAAGGAAUAUUGGACAAUGGGCGCAAGCCUGAUCCAGCCAUGCCGCGUGAAGGAUGAAGGCCCUAUGGUCGUAAACUUCUUUUAUACGGGACAAAACCCCCCGAUGCGUCGGGGGUUGAUGGUACUGUAAGAAUAAGGGUCGGCUAACUUCGUGCCAGCAGCCGCGGUAAUAC